GAGUGUGUAGUUCAGUAGAAGAAUGCUUGCCUAGCAUGUGCAAGGCCCUGGGUUCAAUCCCCAGCAUACCUC
rnacentral:tRNA from 1 species